GGAGCUACAGCUCAGUGGCAGAGCACCUGCCUUGCAUGCAGAAGGUCCUGGGUUCAAUCCCUGGCAUCUCCA
rnacentral:tRNA from 1 species